rnacentral:rRNA from 1 species
GAAAGGGCGCACGGUGGAUGCCUUGGCACUAGGAGCCGAUGAAGGACGGGACGAACACCGAUAUGCUUCGGGGAGCUGUAAGCAAGCUUUGAUCCGGAGAUUUCCGAAUGGGGAAACCCACCACUCGUAAUGGAGUGGUAUCCAUAUCUGAAUACAUAGGAUAUGAGAAGGCAGACCCGGGGAACUGAAACAUCUAAGUACCCGGAGGAAGAGAAAGCAAAUGCGAUUCCCUGAGUAGCGGCGAGCGAAACGGGAUCAGCCCAAACCAAGAGGCUUGCCUCUUGGGGUUGUAGGACACUCUGUACGGAGUUACAAAGGAACGAGGUAGAUGAAGAGGUCUGGAAAGGCCCGCCAUAGGAGGUAACAGCCCUGUAGUCAAAACUUCGUUCUCUCCUGAGUGGAUCCUGAGUACGGCGGAACACGUGAAAUUCCGUCGGAAUCCGGGAGGACCAUCUCCCAAGGCUAAAUACUCCCUAGUGACCGAUAGUGAACCAGUACCGUGAGGGAAAGGUGAAAAGCACCCCGGAAGGGGAGUGAAAGAGAUCCUGAAACCGUGUGCCUACAAGUAGUCAGAGCCCGUUAACGGGUGAUGGCGUGCCUUUUGUAGAAUGAACCGGCGAGUUACGAUCCCGUGCAAGGUUAAGCAGAAGAUGCGGAGCCGCAGCGAAAGCGAGUCUGAAUAGGGCGAAUUGAGUACGUGGUCGUAGACCCGAAACCAGGUGAUCUACCCAUGUCCAGGGUGAAGUUCAGGUAACACUGAAUGGAGGCCCGAACCCACGCACGUUGAAAAGUGCGGGGAUGAGGUGUGGGUAGGGGUGAAAUGCCAAUCGAACCUGGAGAUAGCUGGUUCUCUCCGAAAUAGCUUUAGGGCUAGCCUCAAGGUAAGAGUCUCGGAGGUAGAGCACUGAUUGGACUAGGGGCCCCUACCGGGUUACCGAAUUCAGUCAAACUCCGAAUGCCGAUGACUUAUCCUUGGGAGUCAGACUGCGAGUGAUAAGAUCCGUAGUCGAAAGGGAAACAGCCCAGACCGCCAGCUAAGGUCCCAAAGUAUACGUUAAGUGGAAAAGGAUGUGGAGUUGCUUAGACAACCAGGAUGUUGGCUUAGAAGCAGCCACCAUUUAAAGAGUGCGUAAUAGCUCACUGGUCGAGUGACUCUGCGCCGAAAAUGUACCGGGGCUAAACGUAUCACCGAAGCUGCGGACUGUUCUUCGAACAGUGGUAGGAGAGCGUUCUAAGGGCUGUGAAGCAAGACCGGAAGGACUUGUGGAGCGCUUAGAAGUGAGAAUGCCGGUAUGAGUAGCGAAAGAGGGGUGAGAAUCCCCUCCACCGAAUGCCUAAGGUUUCCUGAGGAAGGCUCGUCCGCUCAGGGUUAGUCGGGACCUAAGCCGAGGCCGAAAGGCGUAGGCGAUGGAUAACAGGUUGAUAUUCCUGUACCACCUCCUCACCAUUUGAGCAAUGGGGGGACGCAGGAGGAUAGGGUAAGCGCGGUAUUGGAUAUCCGCGUCCAAGCAGUUAGGCUGGGAAAUAGGCAAAUCCGUUUCCCGUGAAGGCUGAGCUGUGAUGGCGAGCGAAUUAUAGUAGCGAAGUUCCUGAUUCCACACUGCCAAGAAAAGCCUCUAGCGAGGUGAGAGGUGCCCGUACCGCAAACCGACACAGGUAGGCGAGGAGAGAAUCCUAAGGUGAUCGAGAGAACUCUCGUUAAGGAACUCGGCAAAAUGACCCCGUAACUUCGGGAGAAGGGGUGCUCUGUUAGGGUGCAAGCCCGAGAGAGCCGCAGUGAAUAGGCCCAGGCGACUGUUUAGCAAAAACACAGGUCUCUGCGAAGCCGUAAGGCGAAGUAUAGGGGCUGACGCCUGCCCGGUGCUGGAAGGUUAAGAGGAGCGCUUAGCGUAAGCGAAGGUGCGAAUUGAAGCCCCAGUAAACGGCGGCCGUAACUAUAACGGUCCUAAGGUAGCGAAAUUCCUUGUCGGGUAAGUUCCGACCCGCACGAAAGGCGCAACGAUCUGGGCACUGUCUCAACGAGAGACUCGGUGAAAUUAUAGUACCUGUGAAGAUGCAGGUUACCCGCGACAGGACGGAAAGACCCCGUGGAGCUUUACUGCAGCCUGAUAUUGAAUGUUGGUACAGCUUGUACAGGAUAGGUAGGAGCCUUGGAAACCGGAGCGCCAGCUUCGGUGGAGGCAUCGGUGGGAUACUACCCUGGCUGUAUUGACCUUCUAACCCGCCGCCCUUAUCGGGCGGGGAGACAGUGUCAGGUGGGCAGUUUGACUGGGGCGGUCGCCUCCUAAAAGGUAACGGAGGCGCCCAAAGGUUCCCUCAGAAUGGUUGGAAAUCAUUCGCAGAGUGUAAAGGCACAAGGGAGCUUGACUGCGAGACCUACAAGUCGAGCAGGGACGAAAGUCGGGCUUAGUGAUCCGGUGGUUCCGCAUGGAAGGGCCAUCGCUCAACGGAUAAAAGCUACCCCGGGGAUAACAGGCUUAUCUCCCCCAAGAGUCCACAUCGACGGGGAGGUUUGGCACCUCGAUGUCGGCUCAUCGCAUCCUGGGGCUGUAGUCGGUCCCAAGGGUUGGGCUGUUCGCCCAUUAAAGCGGUACGCGAGCUGGGUUCAGAACGUCGUGAGACAGUUCGGUCCCUAUCCGUCGUGGGCGCAGGAAAUUUGAGAGGAGCUGUCCUUAGUACGAGAGGACCGGGAUGGACGCACCGCUGGUGUACCAGUUGUUCUGCCAAGGGCAUCGCUGGGUAGCUAUGUGCGGACGGGAUAAGUGCUGAAAGCAUCUAAGCAUGAAGCCCCCCUCAAGAUGAGAUUUCCCAUUCCGCAAGGAAGUAAGAUCCCUGAAAGAUGAUCAGGUUGAUAGGUCUGAGGUGGAAGUGUGGCGACACAUGGAGCUGACAGAUACUAAUCGAUCGAGGACUUAACC